rnacentral:lncRNA from 1 species
GUGAGUAGGCCAGCGACGGACUGUAUUUGGCAGACUGAGGAUUGUAGCUUGGGGAUGUAGGACUAUAGGUUGGUGAAGUUGGGCUAUAACUUGGUGAAGUUGGACUAUAACCAGGAGAAGUGGGGCUAUAGGCUGGUGAAGUGGGGCUGUACGAUGGAGAAGUAGGGCUGUAUGACGGUGAGGUAGGGCUGUACGAAGGUGAUGUUGGGCUGUAGGAAGGAGAGGUUGGGCUGUACGAUGGUGAGGUGGGGCUGUAUGCAGGUGAGGUGGGGCUAUAUGCAGGUGAGGUGGGGCUAUAUGCCGGUGAGGUGGGGCUAUAGCUUGGUGAAGUUGGACUGUAACUGGGAGAAGUGGGGCUGUAACUUGGAGAGGUCGGGCUGUAGCUUGGGGAUGUUGGGCUGUAACUUGGGGAGGUUGGGCUAUAGCUUG